rnacentral:rRNA from 1 species
UACGUAGGCAGCAAGCGUUGUUCGGAGUUACUGGGCGUAAAGGGUGCGUAGGCGGCUAUUUAAGUUUGGUGUGAAAUCUCCCGGCUCAACCGGGAGGGUGCGCCGAAUACUGAGUGGCUAGAGUGCGGGAGAGGAAAGUGGAAUUCCUGGUGUAGCGGUGAAAUGCGUAGAUAUCAGGAGGAACACCGGUGGUGUAAACGGCUUUCUGGACCGUAACUGACGCUGAGGCACGAAAAGCGUGGGUAGCAAACAGG